rnacentral:rRNA from 1 species
GACGAACGCUGGCGGCAGGCCUAACACAUGCAAGUCGAACGGUAACAGGAAACAGCUUGCUGCUUCGCUGACGAGUGGCGGACGGGUGAGUAAUGUCUGGGAAACUGCCUGAUGGAGGGGGAUAACUACUGGAAACGGUAGCUAAUACCGCAUAACGUCGCAAGACCAAAGAGGGGGACCUUCGGGCCUCUUGCCAUCGGAUGUGCCCAGAUGGGAUUAGCUGGUAGGUGGGGUAACGGCUCACCUAGGCGACGAUCCCUAGCUGGUCUGAGAGGCUGACCAGCCAUACUGGAACUGAGACACGGUCCAGACUCCUACGGGAGGCAGCAGUGGGGAAUAUUGCACAAUGGGCGCAAGCCUGAUGCAGCCAUGUCGCGUGUAUGAAGAAGGCCUUCGGGUUGUAAAGUACUUUCAGCGGGGAGGAAGGGAGUAAAGUUAAUACCUUUGCUCAUUGACGUUACCCGCAGAAGAAGCACCGGCUAACUCCGUGCCAGCAGCCGCCGUAA